rnacentral:rRNA from 1 species
AGUGAACGCUGGCGGUAGGCCUAACACAUGCAAGUCGAACGGCAGCACAGGAGAGCUUGCUCUCUGGGUGGCGAGUGGCGGACGGGUGAGGAAUACAUCGGAAUCUACUCUGUCGUGGGGGAUAACGUAGGGAAACUACGCUAAUACCGCAUACGACCUACGGGUGAAAGCAGGGGAUCUUCGGACCUUGCGCGAUUGAAUGAGCCGAUGUCGGAUUAGCUAGUUGGCGGGGUAAAGGCCCACCAAGGCGACGAUCCGUAGCUGGUCUGAGAGGAGGAUCAGCCACACUGGAACUGAGACACGGGCCAGACUCCUACGGGGGGCAGCAGUGGGGAAUAUUGGACAAGGGGCGCAAGCCUGAUCCAGCCAUACCGCGUGGGUGAAGAAGGCCUUCGGGUUGUAAAGCCCUUUUGUUGGGAAAGAAAUCCAGCUGGCUAAUACCCGGUUGGGAUGACGGUACCCAAAGAAUAAGCACCGGCUAACUUCGUGCCAGCAGCCGCGGUAA